AGCAGCCGCGGUAAUUCCAGCUCCAAUAGCGUAUAUUAAAGUUGUUGCAGUUAAAAAGCUCGUAGUUGAAUUUCGAGAUCAAAUUGUUGGUCGUGCCUUGGUACGCACUGGCAUUAUUGGUUUCUCCCUUCUGAAGAACCAAGAUGUCAUUAAUUUGGUGUCUUGGGGAAUCAGGACUGUUACUUUGAAAAAAUUAGAGUGUUUAAAGCAGGCUCACGCUUGAAUACAUUAGCAUGGAAUAAUGAAAUAGGACGUUUGAUCCUAUUUUGUUGGUUUCUAGGAUCGACGUAAUGAUUAAUAGGGAUAGUUGGGGGCAUUAGUAUUCAAUUGUCAGAGGUGAAAUUCUUGGAUUUAUUGAAGACUAACUACUGCGAAAGCAUUUGCCAAGGAUGUUUUCAUUAAUCAAGACGAAAGUUAGGGGAUCGAAGACGAUCAGAUACCGUCGUAGUCUUAACCAUAAACUAUGCCGACUAGGGAUCGGAUGAUGUUAAUUUUUUUAAU
rnacentral:rRNA from 1 species